AUGUUCUCUCCAUCUCUCCUGCUCCUGCUGGCAGCUGCUUCCUACGUGCACGGUGAGGAACUGACUCAGCCUGCUUCCAUGACAGUCCAGCCAGGCCAGAGUCUCUCCAUUCACUGCAAGGUUUCAUACUCAGUUACGAGCUAUAGUACAGCUUGGAUCCAGCAACCUGCAGGAAAAUCUCUGGAGUGGAUUGGAACCAUCAGUGAUGGUGGAAGUCCAUAUUACAGUGAGAAACUAAAAAAUAGACCCCCCAUAAUCUGGCCCUGGUUCAGCAUCUCCAGAGACACUGCUACUAACACAAUAACAAUUCGAGGACAGAAUCUGCAGACUGAAGACACAGCUGUGUAUUACUGCGCGAGAUACACACACCUCUUUACUCACUGUGACUACUACUACAGCUACGGCUACUUUAACUACUGGGGAAAAGGAACUCAAGUGACCGUGACUUCAGCAGUGCCAAGCGCGCCGAAGUCCCUGUUUCCCGUGUGGCAGUGCGGCUCGUCCCCGGACGGUUACGUCACUCUGGGCUGCAUCACGAGCGAUUUGGCCACCGCCGACGGACUGAGCUUCAAAUGGACGGAUGCGAGCGGGAGCGCGCUGACUGACUUCGUGCAAUACCCGGCGGUGCGCGCGACCGGAGGCUUCACCUCGGUGAGCAACGCGCGCGUCAAGGCUGCCGACUGGGACCAGAGCAAGAAGUUCACGUGCCAAGUGGAAAAUAGCCUCGGUUCCAAAGAAGCGACCUUACAAAAGAUAGAUGUGAUCGAGCACCCCCCUACAUCUCUGCUUCUAACAACUCCCACCCAAAAAGAACUAGACAAUGGAACAGCUACCUUCAUCUGCUUAGCUGCACAUUUUUCGCCUAAAUCACACACGUUUAAGUGGACUCUUGAAAACCAGGACCUCGGUUCGAAGGUCAAAGACACCAUAUUAAGCCAGGAUAAAGGUGCUUACACUGCCAUAAGUAUUUUGGAAAUCGGGGCCUACGAAUGGACGGGUCCAGUGAAGUGCGAAUUCCAGCAGAAGAAAUGGAAAGGAUCCGAAGAGGCGAAUUAUGUGUCAGUUCCAAAGCAGCCCGAGGUGAUCAUCUUCCCACCUUCCACCAGGGACAUACUGUUCGAUCGCGCCGGCGAGCUCGAGUGCAGGACCGACUUGGAUUCGGGUUUCAAGAGCAUUAAAUGGAUUAAUGACGAGGGUGAGGAGCUCUCUUCUGUCAAAAAAGUCUCAACGGAUUCCAAAGUCAGACUCAUCACCUCGAUCAGUUUCGAUGACUGGAGCAAAGGCACCAAUUUCACCUGCGAGGUGGAAAAUUCAGCGUUCAUCCAGCAGUAUAAAUCAGUCGUCUACCAAAGAACGAGUGUAAUAGAUGGCCUGAGGUUGACCGAGAUGUUCUACCAUGAGACAGAUAUGGAGGAUGACAGCAUGGUAAACACUGCCUUGACGUUUGUGUUCCUCUUCCUCAUCACCCUCUUCUACAGCAUCGGAGUGACUGUUAUCAAGGUGAAAUGAAGACAGAAACUGCGCGGAAACGAGUUUGGUUUUCUCUCUGUUUCUUCAUGAUACUGUUCUGAGUUAUACUUUCUGCUGUUGCCUACUCGCCUACUUUCCACAUAUUUUAUAUCUGUAAAUACCUUUUGGACAUUUAAAUGUUGGACUUUUUUCAUGCUUUUACUCAAAUCUCAAAUAAAGGUCUUUGAAAAAUA